ACGCUCGACACCUACGGGGGCAGCAGUGAGGAAUAUUGGUCAAUGGGCGCUAGCCUGAACCAGCCAAGUAGCGUGAAGGAUGAAGGCUCUAUGGGUCGUAAACUUCUUUUAUAUAAGAAUAAAGUGCAGUAUGUAUACUGUUUUGUAUGUAUUAUAUGAAUAAGGAUCGGCUAACUCCGUGCCAGCAGCCUCGGUAAUCUGAGCGGGCUGGCAAGGC
rnacentral:rRNA from 1 species